UGGGGAAUUUUGGACAAUGGGGGAAACCCUGAUCCAGCCAUCCCGCGUGUGCGAUGAAGGCCUUCGGGUUGUAAAGCACUUUUGGCAGGAAAGAAACGUCAUGGGUUAAUACCCCGUGAAACUGACGGUACCUGCAGAAUAAGCACCGGCUAACUACGUGCCAGCAGCCGCGGUAAUACGUAGGGUGCAAGCGUUAAUCGGAAUUACUGGGCGUAAAGCGUGCGCAGGCGGUUCGGAAAGACAGAUGUGAAAUCCCAGAGCUCAACUUUGGAACUGCAUUUUUAACUACCGGGCUAGAGUGUGUCAGAGGGGGGUGGAAUUCCGCGUGUAGCAGUGAAAUGCGUAGAUAUGCGGAGGAACACCGAUGGCGAAGGCAGCCUCCUGGGAUAACACUGACGCUCAUGCACGAAAGCGUGGGGAGCAAACAGG
rnacentral:rRNA from 1 species